GGCCUACCAUGCUAUUCGAGGGGCAGCACGUCUUCGGAUGGUGGCGACCGGCGCACGGGUGCGUAACGCGUAUGUAACUUGCCCAUAACUGGAGGAUAGCCCAAAGAAAUUUGGAUUAAUGCUCCAUAGUAUUAUGAAACCGCAUGGUUUUAUAAUUAAAGCUCCGGCGGUUAUGGAUAGACAUGCGUCCCAUUAGCUAGUUGGUGAGGUAACGGCUCACCAAGGCUACGAUGGGUAGGGGGCCUGAGAGGGUGAACCCCCACACUGGUACUGAGACACGGACCAGACUCCUACGGGAGGCAGCAGUGAGGAAUAUUGGUCAAUGGAGGCAACUCUGAACCAGCCAUCCCGCGUGAAGGAUGAAUGCCCUAGUGGUUGUAAACUUCUUUUAUAUAGGAAUAACCGUAAGUACGUGUACUUACCUGAAGGUACUAUAUGAAUAAGCAUCGGCUAACUCCGUGCCAGCAGCCCGCGGUAAUG
rnacentral:rRNA from 1 species